UCCGCUCUCUAACCCUUUGUGAACAUACCUACCACUGUUGCUUCGGCGGGUAGGCCGUCCCCUGAAAAGGACGCCUCCCGGCCCGGACCGGACCCCCCGCGGGACCGGACCCGGCGCCCGCCGGAGGAUAACCAAACUCUAUUGUAACGACGUUUCUUCUGAGUGGCAUAAGCAAAAUAAUCAAAACUUUUAACAACGGAUCUCUUGGUUCUGGCAUCGAUGAAGAACGCAGCGAAAUGCGAUAAGUAAUGUGAAUUGCAGAAUUCAGUGAAUCAUCGAAUCUUUGAACGCACAUUGCGCCCGCCAGCAUUCUGGCGGGCAUGCCUGUUCGAGCGUCAUUUCAACCCUCAAGCUCUGCUUGGUGUUGGGGCUCUACGGUCGACGUAGGCCCUCAAAGGUAGUGGCGGACCCUCCCGGAGCCUCCUUUGCGUAGUAACAUUUCGUCUCGCACUGGGAUCCGGAGGGACUCUUGCCGUAAAACCCCCCGAUUUUCCAAAGGU
rnacentral:rRNA from 1 species